rnacentral:rRNA from 1 species
GAUGAACGCUAGCUACAGGCUUAACACAUGCAAGUCGAGGGGAAACGAUAUUGGAAGCUUGCUUCCGAUAGGCGUCGACCGGCGCACGGGUGAGUAACGCGUAUCCAACCUGCCCAUCACUUGGGGAUAACCUUGCGAAAGUAAGACUAAUACCCAAUGACGUCUCUAGAAGACAUCUGAAAGAGAUUAAAGAUUUAUCGGUGAUGGAUGGGGAUGCGUCUGAUUAGCUUGUUGGCGGGGUAACGGCCCACCAAGGCGACGAUCAGUAGGGGUUCUGAGAGGAAGGUCCCCCCACAUUGGAACUGAGACACGGUCCAAAACUCCUACGGGAGGCAGCAGUGAGGAAUAUUGGUCAAUGGACGAGAGUCUGAACCAGCCAAGUAGCGUGAAGGAUGAACGGCCCCUAUGGGUUGUAAACUGCUUUUAUAAGGGAAUAAAGUGAGUCUCGUGAGACUUUUUGCAUGUACCUUAUGAAUAAGGACCGGCUAAUUCCGUGCCAGCAGCCG